rnacentral:rRNA from 1 species
CAGUCGAACGAGUUCUCGUUGAUGAUCGGUGCUUGCACCGAGAUUCAACAUGGAACGAGUGGCGGACGGGUGAGUAACACGUGGGUAACCUGCCCUUAAGUGGGGGAUAACAUUUGGAAACAGAUGCUAAUACCGCAUAGAUCCAAGAACCGCAUGGUUCUUGGCUGAAAGAUGGCGUAAGCUAUCGCUUUUGGAUGGACCCGCGGCGUAUUAGCUAGUUGGUGAGGUAAUGGCUCACCAAGGCGAUGAUACGUAGCCGAACUGAGAGGUUGAUCGGCCACAUUGGGACUGAGACACGGCCCAAACUCCUACGGGAGGCAGCAGUAGGGAAUCUUCCACAAUGGACGCAAGUCUGAUGGAGCAACGCCGCGUGAGUGAAGAAGGCUUUCGGGUCGUAAAACUCUGUUGUUGGAGAAGAAUGGUCGGCAGAGUAACUGUUGUCGGCGUGACGGUAUCCAACCAGAAGGCCACGGCUAACUACGUGCCAGCAGCCGCGGUAAUACGUAGGUGGCAAGCGUUAUCCGGAUUUAUUGGGCGUAAAGCGAGCGCAGGCGGUUUUUUAAGUCUGAUGUGAAAGCCCUCGGCUUAACCGAGGAAGCGCAUCGGAAACUGGGAAACUUGAGUGCAGAAGAGGACAGUGGAACUCCAUGUGUAGCGGUGAAAUGCGUAGAUAUAUGGAAGAACACCAGUGGCGAAGGCGGCUGUCUGGUCUGUAACUGACGCUGAGGCUCGAAAGCAUGGGUAGCGAACAGGAUUAGAUACCCUGGUAGUCCAUGCCGUAAACGAUGAAUGCUAGGUGUUGGAGGGUUUCCGCCCUUCAGUGCCGCAGCUAACGCAUUAAGCAUUC